rnacentral:misc_RNA from 1 species
UCCGGUUUAUCACCGGCAGUCUCCACAGAGUCCUCGGCUUUCCCCAGCAUGUCAAGCCUAGGUAAGGUUCUGCGCGUUGCGUCGAAUUAAACCACAUGCUCCACCGCUUGUGCGGGCCCCCGUCAAUUCCUUUGAGUUUCAGCCUUGCGGCCGUACUCCCCAGGCGGGGCACUUCAUGCGUUAGCGCCGGUACUCCAAGGGUCGCUCCCCGGAGCACCUAGUGCCCAUCGUUUACGGCGUGGACUAC